CAUUCUAGCAAAAGCAGGGGCCAUUACACAC
rnacentral:piRNA from 1 species